rnacentral:rRNA from 1 species
GAUGAACGCUGGCGGCGUGCCUAAUACAUGCCAGUCGAGCGAACGGACGAGAAGCUUGCUUCUCUGAUGUUAGCGGCGGACGGGUGAGUAACACGUGGAUAACCUACCUAUAAGACUGGGAUAACUUCGGGAAACCGUAGCUAAUACCGGAUAAUAUUUUGAACCGCAUGGUUCAAAAGUGAAAGACGGUCUUGCUGUCACUUAUAGAUGGAUCCGCGCUGCAUUAGCUAGUUGGUAAGGUAACGGCUUACCAAGGCAACGAUGUAUAGCCGACCUGAGAGGGUGAUCGGCCACACUGGAACUGAGACACGGUCCAGACUCCUACGGGAGGCAGCAGUAGGGAAUCUUCCGCAAUGGGCGAAAGCCUGACGGAGCAACGCCGCGUGAGUGAUGAAGGUCUUCGGAUCGUAAAACUCUGUUAUUAGGGAAGAACAUAUGUGUAAGUAACUGUGCACAUCUUGACGGUACCUAAUCAGAAAGCCACGGCUAACUACGUG